UCCUCACUUCUCAUCGGACCGCCGGGCAAUAAACACGCGAGAGAUGGAGGUGCAUCGUUAGAAAAGGAAAACUGAGUGUCCGAAUCACUUGCGUCUGGACUUGCAUUGAAUACGCCGUUACUCUUCCUGUGCCAAACGGGACUGAAACAUCACAAUUGACCGCGCAUUAAACAUCACAUCUGGAGUAUAAUGGAUAUGGAACUUCAAAUAGAGCUGAUUGAUGGGAUUGGUCAGCCACUCUUGGAGAGCCUUCUGCAGUCUUCUGACGUGAAGUGGCUUGCUGGCCAUCCCCACAAGUGCCAUAAUUUCUAGAAAUUCUUCUUCUCCAGCAUCGCACAAUUGCUGGACGUCAUCACCUCCUGUGCAAGAAAAAAGUCUAAAAUUAACGGAAACUGGAAAAAGCGAUGAAACCCGCGAGUUCAAUUUGCUACAUCAACUUGGAAAGCUCACUGUAAGGCUACACAAUCUAUUACACGCUUGAAAUAUCAACGAAGCCACGUUUCUUGCUUGAAAAAAGAAAGAAAGAAAGGAAGAAGGGAAGAAGCGGUCGGUGUUACCCGGAGAAAAAUUCUUUGCGCGCAAUUUCUUCUUCUUUGUUAUUUUUUUACACUUUUUAGCAAAAAAAUAUCACGUACCCAUCUCUAACAGUGUGUCGUAGUAUCCAAGGAGAGAAGCACGCUGCAUGACGCGGUACAACUGAAGUUCGGCCUCGUUCUGCGGCACGGAAGUCUGCACGACUGGAAUAGAAUAACAAUGACGAGAUGUGUGAAUCGAACCUUAUUUUAGAUAUGUCGUCGUUUGAAGCGAGAAGAUCAAAUAACUCCUCAUUAUAUAAUUCAAGAAAACUGACGCGUACUGAAUAUUCCUGCACAUCCAAUGUGUGCAGUUCAUCAAAUAAAUGACUCAACGAGCGAGUACAAAGAUGGGUCAUUGCUUACACCUUCCAUGGUAAAAGUUUUACCUGUACCAGUUUGUCCAUAAGCAAAAACUGUACAGUUAUAGCCUGCUAAAACUUCUUCCACUAAAGGGCUGACCACCACUUGAUAAAUAUUGACCUGUGAAACUUUUGAAAUACAACCAAAUGUUUGAGUGCUACUCAGCUGGGCACCGCGCUGCACGUUUUCACCAUGCCGAGGAAUCUGUAUACCAAGCACUGACCUCCCUGAAGUCAAUAAAAGAGGGAACUACAAGGUUCUCCGGGUCAAACCAUUGCGACCAUUAAUUGCAAAUUACUUAUUACAGGAUACAUCUAGAAACCUUUGUGAACCUUUUUUUUUUUGCCUAAUAGACCUCACUAUUUGUAUGACUAAAUAAUAUAAAUUCCUUAUUCAGAAAACGAAUCCCAAUCACAACAAGUACAAGUACAACAAAUGUAAGAACACAGUCUUACCUGUUAGGACAAAGGUCCAAAAACUUUAUCAAACGUGAAUUUCUUAGAAAGCUUGU